rnacentral:rRNA from 1 species
UACAGAGGGGGCAAGCGCUGUUCGGAAUUACUGGGCGUAAAGUGUGCGCAGGCGGCCGCGCAAGUCGAGUGUGAAAUCCCCGAGCUUAACUUGGGAAUUGCGCUCGAAACUACGUGGCUGGAGUGUGGCAGAGGAAGGUGGAAUUCCACGUGUAGCGGUGAAAUGCGUAGAUAUCUGGAGGAAUACCGGUGGCGAAGGCGGCAUCCUGGACCGACAUUGACGCUGAGGAGCGAAAGCUAGGGGAGCAAACGGG